GCCUUGAUGGUGAAAUGGUAGACACGCGAGACUCAAAAUCUCGUGCUAAAGAGCGUGGAGGUUCGAGUCCUCUUCAAGGCAGCAUCCAUGGCUGAAUGGUUAAAGCGCCCAACUCAUAAUUGGUAAAUUUGCGGGUUCAAUUCCUGCUGGAUGCA
rnacentral:tRNA from 1 species